CAAUAGCGUAUAUUUAAGUUGUUGCAGUUAAAAAGCUCGUAGUCGGAUUUUGGCUGAGAACGAUCGGUCCGCCGUUAGGUGUGCACUGAUUGGUCUCAGCUUCCUGGUGAGGAGGUGUGCUUCACGGCCACUUAGUCACCGUGGUUACUUUGAAAAAAUUAGAGUGUUCAAAGCGGGCUUACGCUUGAAUAUAUUAGCAUGGAAUAACACCAUAGGACUCCUGUCCUAUUUCGUUGGUCUCGGGACGGGAGUAAUGAUUAAGAGGAACAGUUGGGGGCAUUCGUAUUUCAUUGUCAGAGGUGAAAUUCUUGGAUUUAUGAAAGACGAACUUCUGCGAAAACAUUUGCCAAGGAUGUUUUCAUUGA
rnacentral:rRNA from 1 species